GACGAACGCUGGCGGCAUGCCUAACACAUGCAAGUCGAACGAGGCCGUCGUGGCUAGUUGCGCACGGGUGCGUAGCGCGUGGGAGCCUGCCGUUGGGAUCCUAAUAUCUGCCCUAAAGGAAUUCUGAUACAGGGUAAUUUCUUCGAACCAAAGCUUUAUCGCCUUUGGAUGGGAGCGCGUUGGAUUAUCUAGUUGGUAGGGUAAAAGCCGACCAAGGCGACGAUCCAUAGCUGGUCAGAGAGGAUGAUCAGCCAGACUGAGACUGAGACACGGCACAGACGCAUACGGGAGGCAGCAGUGGGGAAUAUUCGAAAAUGGGCGAGAGCCUGAUGCAGCAAAGCCGUGUGAGUGAUGAAGGCCUGAGGGGUGUAAAGCUAUUUUACCCGGGAGGAUCAUGAUAGUACCGGGAGAAUAAGCCCCGGCUAACUACGUG
rnacentral:rRNA from 1 species